GGGAAGAAUAGUACCGGUUGGACCGGUAUAUGACUGUACCCUCAGAGAAAGCCCCGGCUAACUACGUGCCAGCAGCCGCGGUAAUCCGUAGGGGGCAAGCGUUGUCCGGAUUUACUGGGUGUAAAGGGCGCGCAGGCGGGAUAAAAAGUCAGUGGUGAAAUCCUACAGCUUAACUGUAGAACUGCCUUUGAUACUUUUAUUCUUGAGUUCGGGAGAGAGAGACGGAAUUCCAGGUGUAGUGGU
rnacentral:rRNA from 1 species